UUGUGGCCGAGUGGUUAAGGCGAAGGACUUGAAAUCCU
rnacentral:tRNA from 1 species